AGUUUUUUGCAGGGCUUCCUCAGAGCCGGUUUGCUCUCUUUGAGCUAUGUCGUCUCAUCGUGGAAUGGCUGAGGUUGGAGGGUCCCUUACCCCCUAAACUCCCUACAUUUUGUUCAGGGGCACUUAGAGGGAUCAUAUGGCAGCGGUGGCUUCCUUCAAGGCCCAAGGUUGGUUUCAAGGCUUUCUGUUCUGUGGUCAUCCAGGGCAGAAGGAGGCUGGCAGGAUGCGACGACGCUGGGAAAUGCUCUUCUACCGGACCGUGGGGCUAGGUGCAUGCAUGCAACUCACAUGGCUCACGGAAAAGCCAAGAACAGGCAGCGGGUUCGAAAAGCUUGCCACAGAGUUCGCAGAGAUUCCUCUUGCCACGAUGCCAGGAUCUCAAGUGUCCUUAAUCUGUUCUUCUAACAGAGUCGUGUUUGUUGAUGGAAUGACUGGCUUGCUGACAAAGAGGGGGCGCAAAUGGAGGCACAGAAUUAGGCCCCUCUUUGGCAUUUGGUGGAAGCUGGGUGUAUGUGCGGAGGUCGGAGGAUAGCUUCACAUGUCAGUCCUGGGAAGUCAUUCAGGCCAUCAGACUCAGUCAUCUCAUACCUGCUCAGUCAUCUCAUCCACACAAUGUCUUCAUUUUCAUCUUUUCCUCUUCCUCCUCUUUCUUUUCUGUUUUGUUUUGAGACAAGGACUCUCUCUGUAGCCCUGACUGUCCUAGACCCAGCUGACCUCAAACUCAGAGAUUUAUCUGCUACUGUCCUCUGAAUGCUGUGAUUAAAAAUGUGUAGCACCACAUCUGGUUUAUUUUUCUUAUAAUUAAAUAUACAUUUAUAUUUAAUAAGCUCUCUAAAAGUAGAUUUUACUUUUUUAUUGUUUAUUUGAGGUGAUAUGUUACUCUGUAGUUUAAGAAGACCUUAAACUUUCAGUUGUUUGGCCUCAGCCUCUUAAGGGCUUGGGACCACUUAUUGUUGAAAUUAUAUGUACAUAGAAAAAAUGUUGGGUGCAAAGACACCAAAAUGUUAAGUGAUUAUAACCGAGUAGUGGUAUUAUGGGUAAUAUUUUUCUUUUUCUUUUUAAUUUUUUUGCAGUAUGAUUACAUUGUUUUCUCACAAUUAGAAUAGAUUCAUAACUUGAAAAGUGCAUAAUCAGUAGUAUUCUACUUGUAGUAAAAUUAUGAAUGCAAAUUGAAAAAAAUGGGAAGGAAGUAUAUUGAACUAUUAACAGUCUUUAUAUUAGUUGCUAAGGGAUUGUGGGUAAUUUCUUCUGUAAUAUAGUCUUAUUAUUUUUAUAAUUAAAAUAAAAUGAUACCUAUAAAUAGCAUAUGCAAUAUGAUCCAACUUUUGUUAAAAUUAAUAUGUGCAUGGAAAAACUAAUAGAUUAUUUUGAAAUAUGUUUGUCUUUGUGUGGUGGGGUAUGACUAUUUUUUCUUUAUAAUUGUUUCUUCAUUUUCCAAAUUUUCUACAGCUAUUGUGUAUUAUUUUAAAUUGUAAAAAUGUAAAUAUUUAUAAAGCAGUUUAAUAUUGGAGUUUUUGUGAUAAAAGGGUGCCUACCUUGGAUUUGCUUUAAAAUAUUUCAGUUUGGGCCAGAGGAGAGUGGGGGGGUGCAUAGAUCAAAUGAGAAAAUUGUUGACUAUAGGUGCAUGAGGUUUCAUUGUGAUGUUUUCUUUGUGAAUGAAAUUUUCAUAAUGAAUAUUGUUCUUAAAAAACCUCUUCCACAAAAACUAUUUCUUUUUAAUU